AUGAGAGUUUGAUCCUGGCUCAGAACGAACGCUGGCGGCGCGCUUAACACAUGCAAGUCGAACGAGAAGCCGUAGCAAUACGGUUGUAAAGUGGCAAACGGGUGAGUAAUGCGUGGGUAAUCUACCCUCGGGUGGGGAAUAACUCUUCGAAAGGAGAGCUAAUGCCGACAUGUGCAUCACUUUCGCAAGGAAGUGCUGGAAAGCCGUACCGUGGGUGCGGCGCCCAAGGAUGAGCUCGCGUCCUAUCAGCUUGUUGGCGGGGUAACGGCCCACCAAGGCUGCGACGGGUAGCUGGUCUGAGAGGACGACCAGCCACACUGGCACUGCGACACGGGCCAGACUCCU
rnacentral:rRNA from 1 species